rnacentral:lncRNA from 1 species
AGAUGGGAGAGAGUUUCCUGUGGGCAAACUUUAGGUUGUAAAUUGACUCUUGUCUCUAGAGACAAUCUUCUGGUGGGAGAGAUUUCCAGCUCUGGGGCUUCUAGAUGCCCUGGAAUACACUUGUGUCAGUGACAAAUGCUGCUUUGCUGUGCUACACCGAGUACAAGGUCGUGUCCAGUGAUUCAAGUUUGACACACCACACCACGGUGGAUGUGCCUUUCAUGACGCAUCUUCUCAGCAGCACUAGAAGAUACAUCCAAAGUCCUGUGAGCAAGGUCUGUGGUAUCUGUUUAUUAUGGCAGCCCAGUGAGACUAAGACAGGCCAUCAAAAGACGUGAACGUUUUGGACCUUCUCUUGGGCCCUAGUAAACAGAAAUCAGGCUACUUAUUAAACUAAACCACGUUCUGAACUGUUACUGCUACUGGAAACCAGUCCCGAUCCAGACCCCAAAAGAGGAUUCUUGGAUCUUGCACAAGAAAGAAAGGAGAGGGACCUGUAGUCAUUACCUUCAAGGAACCUAAAUCCUGGUGUCUUUAUGGUUAUGGGUGGCAUAUAAUAUACAGACACAGUGAAGGAGUGAGAUGUGAAGGUGCUCUGUCAUUGCCUCAGUCAAGACUUUCAUGGUACAUUGGAAGAAAGAGAAGCGUGAACAAAUUGCAUGAUACUUGAGGUCAUGCUGUGUACCUGUAUUGAACAAGAAUAAGGGAAGAAAGCUGGGAACCUGGAUCUCCCAUAUAUUGGAAGUUUUGUAAAAACCUUGAGGGUCCCUUCCACUACAUAUGGGGAUUAUGGGAACUGCAAUUCAAGAUGAGAUUUGAGUGAGGACACAGCCAAACCACAUGGUUUUAGAACAUUGACGAAGAGAGAAGACAACCCACUUUGCCAUAUAUGCCCAUGGUCUUACCAAGGCUAGAGUACAGUGGCACAGUCAUAGCUCACUGCAGCCUUAAACUCCCAGACUCAGGCAAUGGAUCCGAUCCUCCCACCUCAGCCAGCCUCCCAAGUAGCUGAGACUACAGGAGUGGCUGCAUAUGUGUCCCGUUUGUGCGUAUCUGCAUAUAAGAGAAGUUGAGAAAGGGCACAAGAAUGAGGUGACUGCGUGGACAUAGAGCGUAUUAUGAAAGACAAACUCUCCCACAUCCCUCCCAGCAGCGGCUCCAGAAUUUCUUCUUCUCCCCUGAAAACUAACAAGAGAGACUGCCACCAGAUUACUCUUAUCUCAGCACCCAGCUUUGCUUAUUGUUUAUCAGUCACUGAGAAUGUGUGAGGCUCUGAGCUAAUAACUUUUAGAUACAUCUUCUUAUUUAGCCUUUAGAGAAAUGCUGUGAGAUAAGUACUGUGUUAUUGGCCCCAUUUUAAAAUUAAUGGGAUAGAAACCCUGCAGGGCAACUCACCCUGGGUCAGCAGCUGGCAUAGAGCUGAGCCCGGGUCUGAGCUGAACUCAGUUUGCCCACAGACCCUCCGCACCACCGCACUAUUAGGUCCCCUUUAUCUGGCCCACUAUUUCAUGGUCACGUGCAUCAUUUCUGUGCUUUGCCACAUUGUUUUAAUUUCUUUAACUCACAGUAUUAUUUCUGUGAGAUAUUUCAGAGGCAAGAAUUCCUCCAUAGUAGGAAUUGUGUCUACUUAGUAGGCUGUGUCUACUUAGCUCGCAUUUCUCAGUGUUUGUCAGUUUCUCUGCAGUGACAGGUCCCCUAAAAUGGGUUACAUCACAAAAAUGAUUUCGGAGCCACAAUUUAAAAAUAAAAAUGAAA